rnacentral:lncRNA from 1 species
AGAAACUUUAACUAACUUCGGUUUUUUAAAAGCAAACAAACUAAAACGACAUCAAAGAAUGCAUUUACUAAUACCUAUAAACUCCAAGCCCUUGAAGAAUGAAAGAAUGCUAACUUAUUAAGGUUUGAAACCCAGUCUUUUCAACAGAAUUCCUAACAUCAAGGCUUAAUGCUUUUACCCCUGUUAUUUACAAACCAAACAUCAGAUUCUGAUGUUAUUUAAACCAAAAUUAUAACAAAACAAAUCAUAAAGGUUUACUUAGAACAGAGCGCCACCAUACAGCUCACAUGUUAUUCAACUAAGUUAUGUCCAUAUCCCAACAGUCCAAAGUUAAAUACAAUAGCAAGAAUUCAAUUAUUAAAACCAAAAAUAAACUAGCAAAUACAGUAAAUCUGGAAAUAAAACACAAUAUAUUUUAGAGAAAUACAACUGAACUAUUAACAGAUAACUUGAUGUUAUGCUCUUAACUCCAUUUUUCAUUUCAUACUUCAAAUUUUGCUUCACAUCUAGUAUAGUUCAAGAAUAAGUACCUGAUUGCAGCAAUCAAAAAUAAGGACAAAUGAGUGUGAAGUCUAGAGGAAACAUCAACAACAGAACCAACUUAGAAUCCCAACAAUACCAACGUAAACCAACUUCUUAAAACCAAAAGAAAAACUAAAUGAAAACCAGUCUUUGAAGAACCCAAAACUCUGAUUAAAUACGCUUUAAAGCAGAUUUGAAUCAAUUUGAACCAAAGCAAGAAUUCCAGUUUCUUGCAAAGCUUUUCAGACUCCUGCCCUUUUUUAGUUUUUUAAUAUUUUUAAUCUCUAAUUCUGACUUGUUGGUGAAGAAACUAUGCCUUUAUAGGCAAGCCUUACGGCAACAGAAAGUGAAUUCGGUUUAGCUCUUUAAUCAUUUUGAUAUUUUCAUUUUUGCUCCUCUACCCUUAGUUUAAAAUUAGCUUUUUAAGUUAGUCCCUAAACCCACCUUCUAGGAAACUUCCUAAGUUAGUUAUGCAAGAUUCUCUAAGCUAAAAUCCCUAAACUACCCUUAAAACCUCUAUUAUUUACCCUUCUAACCUAAACUAACAAAAUCCUAGGGCUAUUGUUGGGACGGGUAAAAAAUAAACCGAGGGCCCAAAAUUUCCAACUAGCCCAUGAGUAUUCGAAAAUCUGACCUAGACAAAAUAACACUCAAACGAUGGCUCCAAAAGAACAAAAACAAUUUUAAUACUUACUCUGAAAAUAAACUGAAUUAAUUCUGUUCCUUUAACAAAAAUUAUCCAAGAUUAACUCAUGGCUACUGUUUAUAUGAAUUUAAACUGAUUAAAAACAGAAACAGAGGGAAAAGAAAAUGAAAGAAUAAAAUGGAGGAGAAACAGAAACCGGGAAACACACGGACAAGGAAUAC